CCCUGUGGGAGGUGAGGGGCACAGCCAGAGUGGACUCAGGAGCUGCCUGCCCUUGUCCCCUCCACAGAGCCCUGCAGAUGAAGACCCCUGGGGUGUCACCUAUGCUGAGGUGUCACACUCUAGACAGGGGCAAGGAGGAAUGUCACCUUUGUCACCUGAGUCAGGGCCAUUCCUGGUCAUGAAGGACACAGCAGAGGGAGAGGAUAGCCUGCAGGAAUGCCAGGUGGCUGCAUCUGAAUCCUCCCAAUUUGUGACCUACGCCCAGCUGAAGGACCUCAACCUCAGAGAGGGGACAGCCACUGCUCCUUCCUCCCAGGGACUGGAGCGUCCAGCUGAGUCCAGUGUCUACGCCACCCUGGCCAUCCACUAGCCCAGGACACCACUCAGAUCCCACCCUGCAAGACAGGGACACGGGGACCUCAGCAGGCACUAGACAGCCCAUGGACACACAGCUAGGAGUCGCGGCCAGCCUGGGGCUGACAUGCAGGGCCAGGAGCAUCUGAGACCUGCUGGAAGUCACCUGAUUCCCAGCACAAUAACUGGUACCAGUCCAUGUGCCACAUUUAGACACUUCAUUCUCUAAAUAACCAAAGGGCAAGAGGGAAAAAUCACAAGCCAAAUGUGCCAAUAUGUGAUGGGAAAACUACCAAAGUCAUGAUGGGCAAGAAACAAAGCACCUUUAGAUCAAAAAAACUUUCAAUAAAAUUUAAGGACAGGACAGUG